UACGAAGGGAGCGAGCGUUGUUCGGAAUCACUGGGCUUAAAGCGUGCGUAGGCGGAUUGGUAAGUAAGAAGUGAAAUCCCAGGGCUUAACCCUGGAACUGCUUUUUAGACUGCCUGUCUGGAAUUCGGUAGAGGUUGGUGGAACUCCUAGUGUAGAGGUGAAAUUCGCAGAUAUUAGGAAGAACACCGGUGGCGAAGGCGACCAACUGGACCGAUAUUGACGCUGAGGCACGAAAGCGUGGGUAGCAAACAGGG
rnacentral:rRNA from 1 species